UAGGGAAUCUUCCACAAUGGGCGCAAGCCUGAUGGAGCAACACCGCGUGAGUGAAGAAGGGUUUCGGCUCGUAAAGCUCUGUUGUUAAAGAAGAACACGUAUGAGAGUAACUGUUCAUACGUUGACGGUAUUUAACCAGAAAGUCACGGCUAACUACGUGCCGG
rnacentral:rRNA from 1 species